CCCCUUCCCAACAGUUGGCGUGCAGCAGAUCCGUAAGGCUGUGUGUGCAUGCGGCCCCGAAGGCGAUGAGCAUGCAAGGGGCUGCAGGGAGGAUGCUGGUGGUGGUGGCAGGACGUGGGCAUCACUGCUGAGUGAUGGGUGAUGAUGUAGGACCUGCAUGAGAAGAGGAUGCUUGUGCAGAAAGGCACUGGGUGAAUGCAGAUGCUCUCAGCCUCCAUCCCACCAGCUCUCCUUGGGGGACUGAGCACCCUGCACCCCAGCUCACCAUGCGUGGGCAAAACCAGCCACCAAGAGCAUCACAGCACAGCCAAGAGGCCACCAGGUCCAUGGCGCUGGCGUGCCCCGGGAGGAGAGAGGGCAGAAAGCCUGCCUGGAGGGCACACAGAGGGAAUGGGCUGGUGGUGGAGCUGAAGGAUCAGGAGGAACUUGGCUUCAUAUUUCAAGUGUGGGAUGUUGCAAGAGGACACGGAGCCCUGAACCCCAGCGGCACACACUCCCCACGGCUCAGCUCGGCUGUGGGGUGCCCACCACAAUGCACCCCACUCCAUCAAUGAGCGCAGGAGCCUUCAUCCCAGCGCAUCGCCAUCAAGGACGGUGCCACCACACCAAGAGACACAGCGAGGCCACGCCAGCUCCAUGGUGGCAACUGAAUACACAGCAGCAAGGGCUCCGUGCAUGGCGUGGGGCUGGGGGCUUCGCACCCACCCGGCUCCCCUGCUCUUGAAAGCAAAUACAAAGGCUGGGCUCCCCCAGUCCUGGCUGAUGCUCGACCUCUCCGUUGUCCUCGCUG